rnacentral:sRNA from 1 species
GAAUAUACAAAUAACUUUUUGGUCCUGACUUUCCCCACCCCUACAGGAUGGUGCCAUGACAAUGGUGUGAACUACAAGAUUGGAGAGAAGUGGGACCGUCAGGGAGAAAAUGGCCAGAUGAUGAGCUGCACGUGUCUUGGGAACGGAAAAGGAGAAUUCAAGUGUGACCCUCAUGAGGCAACGUGUUAUGAUGAUGGGAAGACGUACCACGUAGGAGAACAGUGGCAGAAGGAAUAUCUCGGUGCCAUUUGCUCCUGCACAUGCUUUGGAGGCCAGCGGGGCUGGCGCUGUGACAACUGCCGCAGACCUGGCGGUGAACCCAGUCCCGAAGGCACUACUGGCCAGUCCUACAACCAGUAUUCUCAGAGAUACCAUCAGAGAACAAACACUAAUGUUAAUUGCCCAAUUGAAUGCUUCAUGCCUUUAGAUGUACAGGCUGACAGAGAAGAUUCCCGAGAGUAAAUCUUUCCAAUCCAGAGGAACAAGCAUGUCUCUCUGCCAAGAUCCAUCUAAACUGGAGUGAUGUUAGCAGACCCAUCUUAGAGUUCUUGUUUCUUUCUUAAGCCCUUUGCUCUGGAGGAAGUUCUCCAGCUUCAGCUCAACUCACAGCUUCUCCAAGCAUCACCCUGGGAGUGUCCUGAGAGUUUUCUCAUAAAUGAGGGCUGCACAUUGC